UUCCUUCGGCACACCACUGAAGAUCCUGGUGUCACUAUGGGCCGCCACCCCGCCCGUUGUUACCGAUACUGUAAGAACAAGCCAUACCAAAAGUCUCACUUCUGCUGAGGUGUCCCUGAUGCCAAGAUUCACAUCUUUGAACUGGGGUGGAAGAAGGCAAAAGUGGAUGAGUUUUCACUCUCUCUGGCCACAUGGUAUCAGAUGAAUAUGAGCAGUUCUCCUCUGAAGCCCAGGAGGCUGCCCGAAUUUGUGCCAAUAAGUACAUGGUGAAAAGUUGUGGCAAAGAUGGCUUUCAUAUCCAAGUGCGGCUCCACCCCUUCCAUGUCAUCUGCAUCGACAAGAUGAUGUCCUGUGCUGGGGCUGACAGGCUCCAAACAGGCAUGCGAGGUGCCUUUGGAAAGCCCCAGGGCACUGUGGCCAGGGUUCACAUUGGCCAAGUGAUCAUGUCCAUCCGCACCAAGCUGCAGAACAAGGAGAACGUGAUUGAGGCCCUGCGCAGGGCCAAGUUCAAGUUCCCUGGCCGCCGGAAGAUCUACAUCUCAAAGAAGUGGGGCUUCACCAAGUUCAGUGCUGAUGACUUUGAAGGCAUGGUGACUGAGAAGCGGCUCAUUCUAGAUGACUGUGGGGUUAAGUACAUCCCCAGUCGUGGCCUUCUGGACAAGUGGCGGGCCCUGUACUCAUGA